rnacentral:rRNA from 1 species
AGUGAACGCUGGCGGUAGGCCUAACACAUGCAAGUCGAACGGCAGCACAGUAAGAGCUUGCUCUUACGGGUGGCGAGUGGCGGACGGGUGAGGAAUACAUCGGAAUCUACUUUUUCGUGGGGGAUAACGUAGGGAAACUUACGCUAAUACCGCAUACGACCUACGGGUGAAAGCAGGGGAUCUUCGGACCUUGCGCGAUUGAAUGAGCCGAUGUCGGAUUAGCUAGUUGGCGGGGUAAAGGCCCACCAAGGCGACGAUCCGUAGCUGGUCUGAGAGGAUGAGCAGCCACACUGGAACUAAGACACGGUCCAGACUCCUACGGGAGGCAGCAGUGGGGAAUAUUCGACAAUGGGCGCAAGCCUGAUCCAGCCAUACCGCGUGGGUGAAGAAGGCCUUCGGGUUGUAAAGCCCUUUUGUUGGGAAAGAAAAGCAGCAGGUUAAUACCCCGCUGUUCUGACGGUACCCAAAGAAUAAGCACCGGCUAACUUCGUG